rnacentral:rRNA from 1 species
UACGUAGGUGGCAAGCGUUGUCCGGAUUUACUGGGCGUAAAGAGCGCGCAGGCGGUCGAAUAAGUCGAAUGUGAAAGCCCCCGGCUUAACUGGGGAGGGUCAUUCGAUACUGCUCGACUUGAAGGCAGGAGAGGGUAGUGGAAUUCCCGGUGUAGUGGUGAAAUGCGCAGAUAUCAGGAAGAACACCAAUGGCGAAAGCAGCUUUCUGGGACGGUACUGACGCUGAGACGCGAAAGCGUGGGGAGCGAACAGG